CAGGCCCGAAGACGGUAGGGUCCUCUACGUCUUCCUCGAUGCCCUCAUCCUCCUCCAGCGCCUCGAUGGCAGGAGCCUCGUCCGGAGUGUCAGGGUCCAGGCUGACGUCCUCAAGCACUUUGCCGGUCUGCUGGUACAGGUACUCCACUCCGAUGAGCUCCCCUGUCACACAGAGAAGGAUUCAGUAGCGGCUCGUUUUGCUGUCAGUUACGAGAUGAGGUGUUUUCACAUCGCAUACCUGUGUACUCAGCCGGCUCGGUGAAGUCCUUAACCAUCUGAAGACCAAGCACUCUUUGGCUCUUCUGGUUAAGGACGUGCUUGAGGUGGCCACUGUAGGAGUGCAGAGGUCCCAGCCGUCCCUCGACUGCAGCCGGUGGUGGUGCAGCUGCCGCUGCGCGGUCCUCGUUCCACCUCACCAGUCCAUCCACCAGGAACGCCUGGAAGUGCUUGGCGCUGGCCCGGGUCCCUGGGGAAGGGGGGGGGGUUUGGAUCAGACACGAGUUUGCAUUUUCUUAAAGUUCAAAUAGAGAUUACAUUUUGUCACGAGCCGCGAGACACACGCCGGUACCUGGGAUGAACCGGUUAAGGUGGAGGUGGAAGGACUCCAGAGAGGUGGAGCCCCUCGCGCAGCGAUAUACGGGCAGGCUGACUCCUCCCUUGGUCAGCCGGCCCGUCUGGGUGUACAGCUGCACACCUGGCGGGUCCUGGAUGCAGCUGAGGUGGGUCCUCUGCGUACUCCAUAUUUCCUGGAUGCGGAGAGCGUUGAGCAACGGGAUGCCCAGGUUGUUGCGUCCUGCCGGUCCACCGAAGGUGUCGAGGAGCUCCUGGAUGAGGAGGGCCGAUUCCUCAGGCCCCCGUGUCCUGCGGCGGACGUGGAGCCUCCACUCCUCCUUGGAGAUCCUCUGGUUCACCGCGGCGUCCGUCAGUCCAACCAUCCCGUGCUUCCCCUCCAGCUGGGACCGCUUAGCCUCUGCGAGACGGCGUGCAUCUCCGGCGUCCACCUCAAAGAUGCAGUUAGACAGCUGCCUCAUGAAGGUGGGGUACAGCUCGUGGCUCUCGGUGUUGACACCUGAUGCGAAGCGUCGCAUCAGGUGCCAGAUGUCCAGUCUCACCACGAGAUGCUCCCACUCCUGCGAAACAAACAAAACGUUAAACUCUCCAGCCACGGUGCUGAUGCAGCACAACUGUCAACAGUGUCCUUUUCACACCUGAAACAAGACAGCUGUCUUUGACACGCCGUCCCUGUUGCAGCAGUCGCGGUCCACGUAGAUCAGCUGGGGGGGAGGUACCCCGGCGAGUCGGUACCGCCUCAUCAAGCCGGCCGCCAUCCCGGACAGGCCCCCGGCGCUCUCUCGGUGGAGGUGAGGACGCUCAUGAGGACCUGCCCGUGCUCAUUGCCGACGUUGGUAGCCCAGGCGGCCGUGUCGGAGGCGAUACCCGCGAGCUUCUUUGUCACCUGCAGAGAGAUUCUGAGAGUUAAUGUGAGAAACACACAGCAGCUGGAAGGAAAAGAAACUGACAGACUCCACUCGCCUUCUUGGUGGAGUCCAUCUUUUUGAUUGACCCGAAGGUGGACGUGAUCCUGGCCUUGUACUCAUCCAGCCGCGCCAGGACGUCGUAGCUGUACACGGUCAGCAGCCAGACGGGGGAUGGCAGAGGGGGCAUCUCGGGCAGAGUUGCCUGGACCGGGCAACUCCUCCCGUUCCUCCACGGCAACGGGUGCGGACGGCGUCAAGGGGGCGGCUGGAGGCGAGGGAGCCGGUGUCCCGGCAGGCUGAACCACGACGAGGGCUGCAGAAGGUCUAUCUCCUGUGAGGCUUCCAGCAGCUCCUCGUCUGUGGGCUCGUCCAGCAGAGUAGAGACACCGGCUCCCGGAGGAGGAGGUGCUGCUGAGGAGGAGGCGGCGGCGGCGGCGGCAGCAGCAGCAGCGGGUGGUGGCAGGCGCAAAAGGGGAGCCUUUGCAAUCAAGGCUUGAAGGUAAAGGAGAUGUUUGAGUAACGUAAAAGGUUGAGAUUAAGAUGAAUUAUUAUUAAUACUGUUAAUACUGAGAGACCGACAAAGAUUGAGCUGCAUUUACACACCACAAGAGAUCAGGAGGUGAUUUUAAAGAGCGAAAGUGAGGGUGAGAUGAUAACUAGUUAGCCAUGCAGAUGUUGUUGAGCUAGCCAGGCGCUGAUGAAAGCACGGUGAAAAGGACGAUGUUAUUUGCAGAGGUGGGUUAUUGAUCCGAGAUGAUCAUCAGACCGCUGACGCAAAACUUACCAGUCAUCCGCUUUCUUCCUCUGAUCAAGAAACGUUUUAAAGUCAAAUUAAAAAAGCGUCAACAAUGAAUACAAGUACUUUUGUUUGUGAACAAAGUGUUUCCUGUUUAUGACUUUACUCUUUACUUACAGGUCUCCAAGUCAACUACCGCCUUGACCAGCUCUUCAUCUGUAGGCUCCACAGAUGACUGGGUGGAGGACAGAGCUGGUCUGAAGGGGCUGAAGUUGGGGGCUGCAGACACAUGAUGGCAGAAGAUAAACCAGGAACACAGGAGCGUAGAUCAAGUGGAACGUCAGUAAAUAACGGAGGCUGGACUGACCUGUAGAUGCAGGCUUAGGGGCCACCAGCUUCUUCACCUGGGCCUGCAUCUCCACAGCAGAUAGAGAACGCCGACCAGAGACAAACUCCACAAGCGCUGGACCAAGAGGCCUAUUAUGACACACGAUAAAUGAGAGGCAACGACAUUAACAAUGACACAACGUUACAAACAUUUCUUCAGGAACACGUACUGUGAUGCACUCGUGGCUCUCUGGCUUGUGGCCGAUGCAGAGGCUGCGCUGCUGCUGGAGGUGGAGGUAGAUGCUCCAGCAGCAGCUUUCAUCCUCUGCCUGUCUCUGCUGCGCACAUACUGGACGGCGUUCUCCAUCUGCGUCCCUGGAGCUGGUGACGUCCUCCGCAGGUACUUGACAAAACUGCACAAAUCAAACAUUCAACAUGAUUCUGAUUCUCGAUUGUCGCCACAGCAACGCGACGAUAAUAAUAAUAAUAAUGAUCUUUUUCACCGGAUCUUUUUGUUGUCCGUCGACUCGUAGAGGCUCUCCAGGGUCUCAAAUUUGAAGUCCCCGAAGCCAACAAGGGCCCGUCCCUCCUGACCGGGCUGGAGGGAAUUCGCCCGCGCCUCCUCAAAUGCCCGGUGGAACCUGACAGCCUCCACGAAGUCAGGAUAGGCGGAGGAGUAGCGGGUGAAGGCGUCCUGUGAGGUUACAAAGUGAGAUAACACAGUGAGGUUAAAUGCCAUCAUUUCUCUAAUUGUAACUGUCUCCAAGUAUUGUGAAGGACCUUGUUGGCCAUCAGCGGGGACUCAGACUGCGUCCUCUCGCGCUCCUUCUGGUGGGAGGCGACCAGAUUGACGCUGUAGCCCACGUCGUUCUCCAGGAGCCAGUGGAAGGUUCUGCCCUGGUAGCGGCCAAACUGCACCUUCCACCGGCUCAGGACCAGGGCGGCGUUGGCGGUGUCACCGCCCUCGGAGACGACGUGAGCCCAGGCCUCCGAGUCCACCUCCUCCGGCUUCUUUGCCCUGUAAGGCGCCUGGGCACUGGGGGGCUGCUGCGUGAAAAGGGCCUGGGCCGCUGGGGAGGCCUUGAGCAGGAUGGUCCCGUUAGGGGCCCUCCGGAAUGUAGGAUGCUCCAUCUAAACAAAUGGACAUUUUAGCAGCACACGGGAGAAAGAAGACAUGACACGUGACACUCCCAUCUAUGACAUCAGUUAUAUCACAGUAUUUUACUCUUGUCAUUAAAACCUUCCUAUCAGAGGAAACCCUGUGUCUGUCUCUAAAUAUGCACAUGUAUUUUUUUAUGUUUGUUUGUUAUUAUGUUACAUAAAUAACGAAUAAUUCCACAUAAAUGACAAAUAUCACAAUUCUACUGGACUGUUGAAUGACACACAUGAAUAAAACACGUUGCUAUACGUUGUAAUGAAGUAACGUUUAUGACUUGGUAACCCCCGUUGUUGUCAACAUGUGACGCAUGCCCGAUGCUAUAAGUCACGUAAACUCCGUCAGCAAUAAACCACCUAAAUGUCCGUAGAAAGGCAUAAAUGACAAAUAUCACAAUUCUACUGGACUGUUGAAUGACACAUGAAUAAAACACGUUGCUAUACGUUGUAAUGAAGUAACGUUUAUGACUUGGUAACCCCCGUUGUUGUCAACAUGUGACGCAUCCCCGAUGCUAUAAGUCACGUAAACUCCGUCACCAAUAAACCACUUAAACGUCCGCAGAAACACGGAGAGACGGGACCGUUAACUUCCAUACGCGGUUUUAGACCGGGUUCCAUUCACCGUAUUAAAGUAAAGUUAGUAAUAAUAACCAUAAAUCGUGGCUAAAGUUACGCGUGUGACGUCACGGCCGCCGCUAGCAUCGAUCGGCAGCGGGUUCGUUGCGGGCGAACUCAUUUCCAUUCACUCACAUUUAAAUAGUAUUAGUAUCCCUACUUACACUCAUAAUAAACACCGUUUAACAUGCGCCGUAGUACUAAAAAACAACAUAGUUGACAUGUUGUACUUACGUCUGCCGAGUAUUGUUAGAAUGAGACGGCAGUCCAGCGGUGAUCCAACAUGGCGGAUCGAGAAGUCAGAAUUGAAACAAAUAGAGCAUCUGAUUGGACGCGCAAACCGUGGAUCCUUUGAUUGGUCGGCCGAAAAUUGAAACAAGCUCUGAGGCCUCUCAUUGGCUCCUGGGAAAUGAAACAAUUGAAACAGAGAAGAAGGGGCUCCGGGUAGCGCAAGGAUGACACGCAAAUUCGUGAAGCGUUCCUCAUUUUCUUUAAUUCUCUAUAAUCUCUAUGAUAUUC
ensembl:lncRNA